UUAACCUAUAUAAAGAAUCAAAAACUUCGCAGGCAUCAAAUGGAAUAGGAAUCGAAUGGCACAAGACUCAUCCUCAAUGCACCAACACACCAAUUUGUGGAGUUCUUUGUAGUAAAGCAUCUAGUUCAUCACUCUCGAAAGUAGAAAUGCCAUGGUUGCUUUUGGAUGCUCGAACGCCCACUUCUAGGCCUACAACAAGUGUAACAUUACGAUGUUGACAGAUGGUGGAAGUGUGUGUUGUAGGGCGGUGCUUCUGGUCUUGUUGUUCGUAUUGUUCUUCUAGUUGCUUGGCAAUGGUGUGGUUCUGCGGAAGCUCCUGCGAAUCUCAAAAGCGACAAGCUAUUGUUUCCUUCCGUUGGUUGUGUAACCACGGAACGGUGGUUGGUGGUUUAGAUUUGUUGUAAUUAUUUUCUUCUUUUGGUGCUGCGGCGGAAGCUCCGAAAUCAGUAGUGCACUGCGGCUAGUUUCUGAGAUUCCCUCAGUGUUUUGUUGUUGUUGUUGUUGUUGUUGUUUUUUUUUUUGGCAUCGAUAGUGUUGACAGUUCUUGUAUUUCUUUACUUAUUCUCUUUGUUUUAGUCUCUCGGUUGUUGUUCAAAGGUGGCCGCUGUGAACGCGGUUGUGUUGCUUGGUCUCUCUUCCUUGCUUUCCUUUGGCCCUUGUGCCUACGGUGCGGAGUUGCAGGGGCUGGAUAUUCUAUGCAAGUCAGAAGUUGUGCUUGGAGCGGCUGGUGGCCGUUGUCACUACAGCGGUGGAGCUUUUAGUCUUGACGUUUGGUGGCGGUGUCCUGGUGGUUGACUGAUUUCUCUUGUUGUUGUUGGCAACCACUUCCAGUGGGUUGCAAAUCCUCUCUCCAGCAAUGCUGAUCUUUUACAGCGCCGGGAUCUCCUUGCCGCAUCCUAGUAUGUGGAAAGGAUCGGCGGCCGUUGGUGGUCUUGGUCGACAUGGCUGGUGGCUGGGCUUCCAAUCCUUCCAAGUGUGCAGUGGAGAGCGGUGUUGAUGCAUCGUAGGCUGCGGUUAGAUCAUUUGCAGUAGCAACCAUUGAUAGACGCUGGCGCAAGCUGUGCUUGACGCUCAAAAGCGAGCUCAUUAUUUCUUGACUGGGUCUUUGAGCUUGAUCUAUGUUAGAAGAUUGGUGUCCAGCUAUUGGUUGCUCACUCCAGUUUCCGUCACUUAAAAACAAAGGUGCAAAUGCAGAAGAGGUCGUCAAGGGCGGGAAUCAAGAAGCUGGUGGGUUGGUUGAGGCUUUUUGCCACACCUGCUCAAUAAACUAGAAGCAAGUCCACUUGAAGAUAGUGCAAGCGCCCUGCUAUUAAAAAUCGUUUUAAGGAGCUAGUUGCUAGCGCCUACUAACUUUUAAUGCACAAUGGUAUUGUUGCUGCUGUCGACUUUCCUGCAGCCUCGUCUCUGCCAUUAUUGUUCUACUAUUGUCCCGGUUUAGACUCUUAGGGAUAGAGACUACUACUGCUUACUCAUACAGAACUAUGAAGCUCCCAUUGUAGCGUUGGAAGUAGCUUUGUGCAUUGCAUAGUGCCUUCUCCAUGAGAUCCAAAGCUAAAGAAGCUUUCUAGUCUGUAAUCAUAAUUGCAUCCAAGAGAAUCUCCAAAGUACUUCACUCUUUUGGAAGAAUUCUCAAGGUGACAACUUUUACACAAGAGACAUUUUAAAAUUGAAUAAAUUUAAGUUGCAUAAAACUAAA